CAGCAGCCGCGGUAAUACGAAGGGUGCAAGCGUUAAUCGGAAUUACUGGGCGUAAAGCGUGCGUAGGCGGUGAGUUAAGUCUGCUGUGAAAUCCCCGGGCUCAACCUGGGAAUGGCAGUGGAUACUGGCUCGCUAGAGUGUGUCAGAGGAUGGCGGAAUUCCCGGUGUAGCGGUGAAAUGCGUAGAGAUGUGGAGGAAUACCGAUGGCGAAGGCAGCCCCCUGGGCCAAUACUGACGCUCAUGCACGAAAGCGUGGGGAGCAAACAGGAUUAGAUACCCGCGUAGUCCCUGUCUCUUAUAC
rnacentral:rRNA from 1 species